rnacentral:rRNA from 1 species
UUCCAGGAAAAGCCUCUAAGCUUCAGAUUGUAAGGAAUCGUACCCCAAACCGACACAGGUGGUCGGGUAGAGAAUACCAAGGCGCUUGAGAGAACUCGGGUGAAGGAACUAGGCAAAAUGGUACCGUAACUUCGGGAGAAGGUACGCUCUCGACGGUGAAGUCCCUCGCGGAUGGAGCUAUUGAGAGUCGCAGAUACCAGGUGGCUGCAACUGUUUAUUAAAAACACAGCACUGUGCAAAAUCGCAAGAUGACGUAUACGGUGUGACGCCUGCCCGGUGCCGGAAGGUUAAUUGAUGGGGUUAGACUUCGGUCGAAGCUCUUGAUCGAAGCCCCGGUAAACGGCGGCCGUAACUAUAACGGUCCUAAGGUAGCGAAAUUCCUUGUCGGGUAAGUUCCGACCUGCACGAAUGGCGUAAUGAUGGCCACGCUGUCUCCACCCGAGACUCAGUGAAAUUGAAAUCGCUGUGAAGAUGCAGUGUACCCGCGGCUAGACGGAAAGACCCCGUGAACCUUUACUACAGCUUGGCACUGAACAUUGACCCUACAUGUGUAGGAUAGGUGGGAGGCUUUGAAACGCAGUCGCUAGAUUGCGUGGAGCCGUCCUUGAAAUACCACCCUUGUAGUGUUGAUGUUCUAACGUCGACCCCUUAUCGGGGUUGCGGACAGUGCCUGGUGGGUAGUUUGACUGGGGCGGUCUCCUCCCAAAGCGUAACGGAGGAGCACGAAGGUGGGCUAAUCACGGUUGGACAUCGUGAGGUUAGUGCAAUGGCAUAAGCCCGCUUGACUGCGAGAAUGACAAUUCGAGCAGGUGCGAAAGCAGGUCAUAGUGAUCCGGUGGUUCUGAAUGGAAGGGCCAUCGCUCAACGGAUAAAAGGUACUCCGGGGAUAACAGGCUGAUACCGCCCAAGAGUUCAUAUCGACGGCGGUGUUUGGCACCUCGAUGUCGGCUCAUCACAUCCUGGGGCUGAAGUCGGUCCCAAGGGUAUGGCUGUUCGCCAUUUAAAGUGGUACGCGAGCUGGGUUUAGAACGUCGUGAGACAGUUCGGUCCCUAUCUGCCGUGGGCGUUGGAGAAUUGAAAGGGGCUGCUCCUAGUACGAGAGGACCGGAGUGGACGAACCUCUGGUGUUCGGGUUGUGUCGCCAGACGCAUUGCCCGGUAGCUAAGUUCGGGAUCGAUAACCGCUGAAAGCAUCUAAGCGGGAAGCGAGCCUUGAGAUGAGUUCUCCCUGAUACUUUAAGUAUCCUAAAGGGUUGUCGUAGACUACGACGUUGAUAGGCAGGGUGUGUAAGCGUUGUGAGGCGUUGAGCUAACCUGUACUAAUUGCCCGUGAGGCUUAACCAU